GCGCGGGGGCGCCCCUGCCCACCGCUCCCGGCAGGGCUUUUGGUGGCCAUGGGGGAUAACGCGCGUUGACUCACCCGGGCGGGGCUCCGGGAGUUGCACAGACCAAGGCCCUGUGCCUCCCUCUACAGCCCUCAGGGAGCUCAUUGAGGAGCUGGUCAACAUCACCCAGAACCAGAAGGCUCCGCUCUGCAAUGGCAGCAUGGUAUGGAGCAUCAACCUGACAGCUGGCGUGUACUGUGCAGCCCUGGAAUCCCUGAUCAACGUGUCAGGCUGCAGUGCCAUCGAGAAGACCCAGAGGAUGCUGAGCGGAUUCUGCCCGCACAAGGUCUCAGCUGGGCAGUUUUCCAGCUUGCAUGUCCGAGACACCAAAAUCGAGGUGGCCCAGUUUGUAAAGGACCUGCUCUUACAUUUAAAGAAACUUUUUCGCGAGGGACGGUUCAACUGAAACUUCGAAAGCAUCAUUAUUUGCAGAGACAGGACCUGACUAUUGAAGUUGCAGAUUCAUUUUUCUUUCUGAUGUCAAAAAUGUCUUGGGUAGGCGGGAAGGAGGGUUAGGGAGGGGUAAAAUUCCUUAGCUUAGACCUCAGCCUGUGCUGCCUGUCUUCAGCCUAGCCGACCCCAGCCUUCCCCUUGCCCAGGGCUCAGCCUGGUGGGCCUCCUCUGUCCAGGGCCCUGAGCUCGGUGGACCCAGGGAUGACAUGUCCCUACACCCCUCCCCUGCCCUAGAGCACACUGUAGCAUUACAGUGGGUGCCCCCCUUGCCAGACAUGUGGUGGG
rnacentral:sRNA from 1 species